rnacentral:sRNA from 1 species
UCUGGUUCUUGUGCUGGCCGGUGACUGG